UACAGGCGUCAAAGGCGGUGCCGACGCGGCCCGCUGCUGAGGGGCGGAGGCGGAACUGAGGCCGCAGCCAUGCGUGCCGGCGCGACCCGAGCUCGGCUGCGGGCAGCGGGGCGUGCGUCCGUGAGGGCGGCUGGAAGCCGGCGACGCCAAGAGAUGGCAGCGGCGGCGCAGCCCGGGGCGGACCAGCGGCUGAUGGCGCCGGCGAGGUCGAGCCGAGGCCUGGGUGCCGGAGCCAAGGGGGCGCGGUGGCAGGAGCUGAGGCCGGCCGUGUGGCGGCUGGCUGUGACCGGCGCGACGGCAGGGCCGGGUGCGGCGGCGGGUCCGGUAGCAGAUUUCUCCUCCUGUCCCGUUUCCUCGUCUCGUCUCCUCCUGACUUCGCCCGCCCCCUCCGCCUGCGCCGAUCUCCCGCGUGCAGGGGCGCCGUCGUCCUGCAUACUCAACGGCUCAUGUAAAAAAGCAAUCAGCUGGAGAACUCCGUCUUCACAAAGAUAUUAGUGAGCUAAACCUACCCAAGAGCACAUCAAUUUCUUUUCCCAACGGCAAGGAUGAUCUGAUGAAUUUUGAGAUUAUCGUCCGACCUGAUGAAGGAUAUUACCUAGGUGGCACUUUCGUCUUUACUUUUCAAGUAUCCCCUUAUCCUCAUGAGCCUCCAAAGGUCAAGUGCAAUACAAAGGUUUGACCUUUGGUUUGCAUAUCAGGCUUAACUUCAGUUUUUGCCCUUUGGAGCCUUGGAGGCUGCAUACCGGUUGAAAGCUUUUGCUUCCUAUUUUUGCUGCACUGUAUUGCAGUAACUGCAAGCUGCAUGCAGAAUUGCAGAUCAACAGCAAGGUUUAUGUUCCGAUGUAAUAAUUUUCAAACUUUGUCUCAGGUGUGACCUUUGGUUUGCAUAUCAGGCUUAACUUCAGUUUUUACCCUUUGGAGCCUUGGAGGCCGCAUACAGUUGAAGGAAGAAUGUGAGUAUUUAUUUCAUUGGCAAAGCUUCUCACGAAGAAAUCUAUAGUUGUUGAUUCAUCAACUGGAGGGAUAACAACAGGUCUAUUGAUUGCAAGUAUUUUUGAUUUUGGAACUCAUACAUGUCCAUUUAGAUCAAGCUGCUUCUACAAGGCAUCUCUUGAUUGUACCAGUCUUGGCCACUUGAAGGGCAGUUGCUUCUUUGACAGUAGAAAAAGUGCUUUCAUUUGUCAAUGGGAUUUAAGAUCAAUUACUCUUGGCGCAUCGUUGCCCUCUUCACCGAAGUUUCAACACCAGCGGAACUUGACAUUUGACGUGGGGCUGCAUCGUCUUGAUCUUCAGUGGAAGGGUAAGUUAACUUAGAUUUAGGGCCGAACGCGGUAACUAGGAGAACAGAUCAUAUGUGCAAGGAUUUCAUUAGAGCCAAUGCGGCCGGAUUCGUUUCCAAGUAGUAGAAGACGAUGGGACGAGCAAGUCCAAGAUCCAACCAACACACAUGAGUCCGUGACUGCCCUUUUCAUCCGUCAUCAUUUAUAUCGACGGUCCUUUUUAUGUACGCAUGCAUAUGUACAAUCACCAUCACAUGCAUGCAUUAUUAGAUAGUAAAGUAGCUGGAACUAUUUCGAUAAUCAGCAUAUAUAUAAAUGAUUAGAUGAAUGUCAAUUAAGCCAACUGCUACUCCAAUUGGAGUAAAUAAUUAUAUCGAUCAAGCAGUAUUCUUGCUAGAGAUCGACGACGUUAAUUUCCUUGUAAUUAUCUGAUGACAAUUAAUAAUUAAUUAAUCAACGUUGACUGAAGCCGAUCGA